UACGUAGGGUGCAAGCGUUAAUCGGAAUUACUGGGCGUAAAGCGUGCGCAGGCGGUUGUGUAAGACAGAUGUGAAAUCCCCGGGCUCAACCUGGGAACUGCAUUUGUGACUGCACAGCUGGAGUGCGGCAGAGGGGGAUGGAAUUCCGCGUGUAGCAGUGAAAUGCGUAGAUAUGCGGAGGAACACCGAUGGCGAAGGCAAUCCCCUGGGCCUGCACUGACGCUCAUGCACGAAAGCGUGGGAGCAAACAGG
rnacentral:rRNA from 1 species